rnacentral:rRNA from 1 species
AUGGGCGCAAGCCUGAUGCAGCCAUGCCGCGUGUGUGAAGAAGGCCUUCGGGUUGUAAAGCACUUUCAGCGGGGAGGAAGGNCUGUGGGUUAAUACCCUGNUGGAUUGACGUUACUCNCAGAAGAAGCACCGGCUAACUCCGUGCCAGCAGCCGCGGUAAUACGGAGGGUGCAAGCGUUAAUCGGAAUUACUGGGCGUAAAGCGCACGCAGGCGGUUUGUUAAGUCAGAUGUGAAAUCCCCGGGCUCAACCUGGGAACUGCAUUUGAAACUGGCAAGCUAGAGUCUGGUAGAGGGGGGUGGAAUUCCAGGUGUAGCGGUGAAAUGCGUAGAGAUCUGGAGGAACACCGGUGGCGAAGGCGGCCCCCUGGACAAAGACUGACGCUCAGGUGCGAAAGCGUGGGGAGCAAACAGGAUUAGAUACCC